UACUUCGUAACUCGUUAAGUGUAAAGUUGUCAAGUUUGUUUUACUUCAAGAACUUUAUAUUCAUGCCCACACACAUGUGAUAAACACCACUACUUUGUUUGGUUGUGGAUUGCAGCUUUCUACUACCUGCAAUAGCCGUAAUUAUUUGGACAUCUCUUAUGGAAGUACAAAAUCAUCCUUACACACAUAUUACAAUUAAUUAAUAUUACAGAAGUAACAUAUAUCCAAGUUGCAGCAGUCUUCAAUUUAAUUGACAAUUUACCAUCGUAACGAGAUGCAAUCUGAAAUAUUAAGUGAAACAUGUCAAAUAGUAAUUCGAAAAUUCUUAGGAAUUGUUUGUUUUUUAUUGCUUGCUCCGUUUCUUAUCACCAGUUUGAUGUUUUUAUAUAUCUACCGUUGUUGGGUAGAAACUGUGCUAAGAAUUCAACUUAAAGAUAAAUUUGCCGGUCUGUUGGAAGGCUCGGAUGCUGUUUGGUGCGUCAAAGAUACAUCUGUACCCUUGAUUACUGCCGUACUAAUAGUGAAGAAAACCGCAGGAACUACAAAUAUGACUUUCUUGAAAGAUAUGAGAAACUUAUUCGAUCACGUAUUUAAAACUGCCCCCAAAAGUUUCGAAAAACUGUUUUACUAUAAAUAUCAAAAGUUUGGUUAUGUUUAUUGGGAAAAAUCAAAAGAAUUUAAUCCAGAAACCGCAAUUAGAUGGUUGGAGUGUGAAAUCAGUAAUUGCGAUGGAUCUUGCGAGAAUGUUCACAGUACAACCUUUCAAGAAAAUCUAAGUUUAAUAUGCAACAGACCGUUGUAUGAUGAUCACAAACCGAUGUGGGAAAUGCUCAUUGGAAGACGUUGUUCCAAAUCUUCAUCUUAUAUGAAAAAAGAUCCGAGCUUGUCUUCCGAAGACCGCUUCAAUACCGAUGUAGACGAAAUUCCUGUAGUAUUUCGCGCUCAUCAUUCUCUUGGUGAUGGUAAAGCUUUAUUCAAGUUGCUUAAUGUGAUUGUCGACGAGAAUAUCACAAAUGAAGUGUCGACAAUAUUGGAAGAACCCAAGGACAGCACCUUAACAGCUAAAGAAAACUAUUUUAAGGAGAAAGAAACUUUUCUAAAAAAACAAUUUAUAUUAAACUUGAAAGAAGUAUAUAACACAAUUAAAGAAAUCAUAAGAAAUGUAAUACUUAUAUUGUUUUCUCUAGAAAUUUUUGUCUCUCAAGUUUUUCGUUGUAUGGAUGGCAAAAGCUUUCUUCAUGGUCGGCCUUUAACAGGUGAGAAACUGAUAUAUUAUCGUUUGGAAAACGAUAUCGAUAAAUCGCAGCUUUUAACAAAAAUUAAAAAAAUAAGACAGUGUACAGGAGCAACAGUUAAUGACAUAAUAUUAACAGCUUUUGCUGCUGGGAUGAUUAAAUAUUAUUUACGCAUGAAGGAAUUAAUACCUAACGCAAUAUCGGUCCUCAUACCAAGAAGACUCUCUAUGUCUGAUGACAACUUAGUAUUGACCAAUGAUGUUUCGUUUAAUAUAGUUAAAAGUUGUUUUGUCAACGCAGAUAGAGAAAUUUUAACAUUACCUACAAACUUUCGGUUUUUUGAACGUCUUCAGAGAACUACAAUAAUAAAUAACAAAAUUAGAAAUAAUUUAGAAGCAUCGUUAAACGUUUUCUUAGUUAAAUAUUUAAGUAGAAUGUUGCCGGUGUCAAUUAUAAAACUUAUUGUUGCAAUUCACAAUCCCAUAAUGGCAUUUAGCAAUAUAAAAGGAAUACAAAAAAAACUUUCUAUUCAGAAUCAUCCUCUAAGCAACAUGACGUUUUGGAUACCGAACAAAAAUACAACCGGGUUGUCCUUAGGUCUAAUUACUUACGAAGGCAAAUUAAAUCUGUCUCUAUUUGUUGAUAAAGCAGUAAUAAGAGAUAUGAAAUUAAUCAAAGAAAUAAUAGACGAGACUAUAUGUGAAAUAGACUCUGCGUAUAAUGAUCUCGCAUAACUUUCGGAAUCAUCGGAUUGUUCAGUGAAAACACUUGUGGAAAAAAAUAGGAAUAUUCUAAAAAGUGAAAACAAUUUUAGUUGUUGGCAUACUCUAUAUCUUUUAUGCACGUAGUGUGUACAAAUGUAUAUUUAUAUAGCAAUAUCGUGUUUAAUUAUUUGUGAAAAUAAAUUUACUAGUAUUAAUAGUGAUUUUUUGUAAUGAAAAACAAAGACCUUUAUAUAUCAACGUCGACUAAUCUAUCUUAUGUAAUAUUUGUAAUGUGAUACUCAUAAAUGUAAAUAGAAAUAGUAAAAUUGUUUCCCACAUA